rnacentral:rRNA from 1 species
CCCUUAGACGUUCUGGGCCGCACGCGCGCUACACUGACCAGUGCAACAAGCAUCCGUCCUUGGCCGACAGGCCCGGGCAAUCUUUGAACGCUGGUCGUGAUGGGGAUAGACUUUUGCAAUUUUUGGUCUUCAACGAGGAAUUCCUAGUAAACGCAAGUCAUCAACUUGCAUUGAUUACGUCCCUGCCCUUUGUACACACCGCCCGUCGCACCUACCGAUUGAAUGGUCCGGUGAAGCCGCCGGAUUGGCGCGCACCUCGGUGCCGCCGAGAAGUUGGCUAAACCUUACCAUUUAGAGGAAGGUGAAGUCGUAACA